GCGAACGCUGGCGGCAGGCCUAACACAUGCAAGUCGAACGGAUCCUUCGGGAUUAGUGGCGGACGGGUGAGUAACACGUGGGAACGUGCCCUUUGGUUCGGAACAACUCAGGGAAACUUGAGCUAAUACCGGAUGUGCCCUUCGGGGGAAAGAUUUAUCGCCAUUGGAGCGGCCCGCGUCUGAUUAGCUAGUUGGUGAGGUAACGGCCCACCAAGGCGACGAUCAGUAGCUGGUCUGAGAGGAUGAUCAGCCACACUGGGACUGAGACACGGCCCAGACUCCUACGGGAGGCAGCAGUGGGGAAUCUUGCGCAAUGGGCGAAAGCCUGACGCAGCCAUGCCGCGUGAAUGAUGAAGGUCUUAGGAUUGUAAAAUUCUUUCAGCGGGGACGAUAAUGACGGUACCUGCAGAAGAAGCUCCGGCUAACUUCGUG
rnacentral:rRNA from 1 species